GUUCGAAUGAUAUAUGGCUCGACAUUCAACAAACGAUUCUAGCCGACCAGACAAAUGUGUUGACAAGCGGUAGUUUUGUACCUAUCGCGGCCACCGUGAAUCAGCGAUCCCCCGGACUGAGCCGACUAUCCAAGAAAAGGCCGGCGGGGAUAGAUGCGGCUAUAGCCGGCUCAUCGCUGACCAUAGAGCAGCCGCAAAUUCCUUAUAAAAAGACUCGCAAGGACGCCGCACAUAGUGCUAUAGCUCCGGAGAAUUUUAACCAUGUUAUACAGGCCGUCAUAAACCCACAAAUCGCGCAACAUGGAGCUGUAUGGUCCGAUGCCAAACGCCAGGUGAUCGGUGCCGUGGAGGUCCAUGUGCCUGCAUCCCCUACAGAGAUCGUCACAGUGCAACCGAAUGGGGCUAUACAACACGUCCUUGAAGAUCCCCAGUGUGCGCCAUCACCAGUGGUGACCGCCUAUGAUUUGGAGGGUCUUGACGACAUCCUGUCCUGGACUUCAUCGUUUCUGGAACAUAGAGACUUCACUCCAGCACAGUGGAUCGACUCUCCUGCUACAUCCUUAGGGGCUACCAGUGCAGAGACUGUGCAACACCAGCAGCCUGCAGAUCCUCCAUCUGGAUCCCUACACGCCCUUCAAGACCCUAGCGGCGACCCUCAGUGCAUCGUGAGUCUCAGCACUCAAGAGGUAUCGGUGCCGCUGCUACCAGCUGCCCCCGUAAUUGCGGUUGAUGAACACCAUGCAGGGGUGCGAUGUGCUAAAUGGCGUAAAGAAUUUGCUGAUAAAUUAGCAUUGUUAACUGCAUCGGUGGAUGUAAACUCCUUAACCAUUGCUCGUCAGAGUAAACUGAGUGUGGCGGCUGCUAAAAGUGUUGACAUUAGAUAUCAGACUCUCGAAAA